CUCGUCAAUAGAAACGUCUCGUGGCAUUUAAUGUUAGCUCGAACUAAAAAGUGAAAUCUACUUAAUCUAUAUUCUACAUCUUCGGUUGACUUACAUAGCUCAAGUUAAAGUAAAAGUAUACAGCUGAAUUAUCUCUAACCUUAAACCUACGAUACACUAGACCUACAUGCAAAGUUACAGAUAUUAAUGCAUAAGCAUCAUCAGUAGGAAUUCCGUAACCGCCUAGCCUAUUCGACACACUGUGAC